rnacentral:rRNA from 1 species
AAAGGGUCCGUAGGCGGUUUAGUAAGUCAGUGGUGAAAGCCCAUCGCUCAACGGUGGAACGGCCAUUGAUACUGCUGAACUUGAAUUAUUAGGAAGUAACUAGAAUAUGUAGUGUAGCGGUGAAAUGCUUAGAGAUUACAUGGAAUACCAAUUGCGAAGGCAGGUUACUACUAAUGGAUUGACGCUGAUGGACGAAAGCGUGGGUAGCGAACAGGAUUAGAUACCCUGGUAGUCCACGCCGUAAACGAUGGAUACUAGCUGUUGGAAGCAAUUUCAGUGGCUAAGCGAAAGUGAUAAGUAUCCCACCUGGGGAGUACGUUCGCAAGAAUGAAACUCAAAGGAAUUGACGGGGGCCCGCACAAGCGGUGGAGCAUGUGGUUUAAUUCGAUGAUACGCGAGGAACCUUACCAAGGCUUAAAUGUAGAUUGACCGGUUUGGAAACAGAUCUUUCGCAAGACAAUUUACAAGGUGCUGCAUGGUUGUCGUCAGCUCGUGCCCGUGAGGUGUCAG